rnacentral:rRNA from 1 species
AUACGGAGGGUGCGAGCGUUAAUCGGAAUUACUGGGCGUAAAGGGUGCGUAGGCGGCUUGAUAAGUCGGAUGUGAAAGCCCCGGGCUUAACCUGGGAAUUGCAUUCGAUACUGUCAGGCUAGAGUAUGUCAGAGGUUGGCGGAAUUCCUGGUGUAGCGGUGAAAUGCGUAGAUAUCAGGAGGAACACCAGUGGCGAAGGCGGCUAACUGGGACAAUACUGACGCUGAGGCACGAAAGCGUGGGGAGCAAACAGGAUUAGAUACCCUAGUAGUCC